rnacentral:misc_RNA from 1 species
GAUGAAGAACGCAGCUAAAUGCGAUAAGUAGUGUGAAUUGCAGAAUUCAGUGAAUCAUCGAAUCUUUGAACGCACAUUGCGCCCCUUGGUAUUCCAUGGGGCAUGCCUGUUCGAGCGUCAUUUGUACCUUCAAGCUCUGCUUGGUGUUGGGUGUUUGUCUCGCCUCUGCGCGCAGACUCGCCUCAAAACAAUUGGCAGCCGGCGUAUUGAUUUCGGAGCGCAGUACAUCUCGCGCUUUGCACUCAUAACGACGACGUCCAAAAGUACAUUUUUACACUCUUGACCUCGGAUCAGGUAGGGAUACCCGCUGAACUUAAGCAUAUCAAUAAGCGGAGGA